CAGGAUGAACGCUAGUGGCAGGCUUAACACAUGCAAGUCGAGGGGCAUCGGGAGUAGCAAUACUGCCGGCGACCGGCGCAAGGGUGCGUAACGCGUGAGCAACAUGCCCGUAUCAGGGGGAUAAUCCAUGGAAACGUGGUCUAAUACCCCAUAGUAAUUAUGUAAGGCAUCUUAUAUAAUUUAAAGCUUUGGUGGAUACGGAUUGGCUCGCGUGACAUUAGCUGGAUGGUAAGGUAACGGCUUACCAUGGCUACGAUGUCUAGGGGUUCUGAGAGGAAGGUCCCCCACACUGGAACUGAGACACGGUCCAGACUCCUACGGGAGGCAGCAGUGAGGAAUAUUGGACAAUGGAUGGAAAUCUGAUCCAGCCAUGCCGCGUGCCAGGAAGACGGCCCUAUGGGUUGUAAACUGCUUUUGUAUGGGAGCAAUAAGGGCUACGUGUAGUCCGAUGAGAGUACCAUACGAAUAAGCACCGGCUAACUCCGUGCCAGCCGCCGC
rnacentral:rRNA from 1 species